GACGAACGCUGGCGGCGUGCUUAACACAUGCAAGUCGAACGGAAAGGCCCUGCUUUUGUGGGGUGCUCGAGUGGCGAACGGGUGAGUAACACGUGAGUAACCUGCCCUUGACUUUGGGAUAACUUCAGGAAACUGGGGCUAAUACCGGAUAGGAGCUCCUGCUGCAUGGUGGGGGUUGGAAAGUUUCGGCGGUUGGGGAUGGACUCGCGGCUUAUCAGCUUGUUGGUGGGGUAGUGGCUUACCAAGGCUUUGACGGGUAGCCGGCCUGAGAGGGUGACCGGCCACAUUGGGACUGAGAUACGGCCCAGACUCCUAUGGGAGGCAGCAGUGGGGAAUAUUGCACAAUGGGCGGAAGCCUGAUGCAGCAACGCCGCGUGCGGGAUGACGGCCUUCGGGUUGUAAACCGCUUUCGCCGGUGACGAAGCGUGAGUGACGGUAAUGGGUAAAGAAGCACCGGCUAACUACGUG
rnacentral:rRNA from 1 species